UAGCAACAUACAAUUGUAUGUGGCACGUUCCACUUUCUUCCUGUGCGCACAUUUCCUCCGCCCCGGUUCCCAUGAAAGAAUUUCGCACCGACUAAUUUGGGGUUUAAUUUUACCAAUUCCAUUAGCACAACGAGAAAUGAUGAAAAAUAGUCUUACCUCGCAUGUGGCCAGAGCGCACAGUCCAGCCAACACUGCCCACGCCCAUCUGACCACCCGCACUCUGGCCAUGCUCGCUGGGAGUCAGACAACGCCGGCUAUGCCAUCACAAUCAGUCUGGGGAACAAUCUGCAAUUGAAAAAAAUGCAUCCUUAAUAUUUCGUGAUAUUUUUACGAUCAUGUUUCAAUUGUACAUUUAUGAACAUUGUAGAUACAUAUCAAAACUAGCCUAUUUUCUCA